UCAGUCACCCCCCCCCAACCACAAACAAGAGCCAGAUGGCCACAAGGCCAUGUAAGCAGCUUGUCUUCCAAAAGCCACCUUGUGUCUGCAGGACGCGGAGCACCCGGCAGCCCGGGCUGGUCCUCCUCGCCGGCACUCCUCGGCUUUGCCUGAUGAACACCAACACGGUUUUAAGCUUCCAUCCAGCAUUUGCAGCUUACUCGUGAGAUGCCAAACUGAUGUUCACUGAUCAGGCUCAGAUUACCCAACAGAGAUGGGAGAUUGGUGCCGGCCCUGCACAGCAUGCCUCGAAGGAAGCCCUGUGGCGAGAGAUGAACCUAGCUCAACUUCCAUUCUGCUGCUGGCGCCUGCCCCGGUAACCCGCAUGUUACACGCAGCUGCAGCCCUUCCUCCUGGCUGGAAUGGCAUCCACUGGGGUGGCCUUGGAAGCCGCGGGGUCAAGACGGCAGAGGCUCUGUCCACUGAGCUCUGUCCACUACCUGCCAGCGGGGACGCUCACCU
rnacentral:lncRNA from 1 species